UAGGGAAUCUUCCGCAAUGGACGCAAGUCUGACGGAGCAACGCCGCGUGAGUGAAGAAGGAUUUCGGUUCGUAAAACUCUGUUGUUAGAGAAGAACAGCGCAUAGAGUAACUGUUAUGCGUGUGACGGUAUCUAACCAGAAAGCCACGGCUAACUACGUGCCAGCAGCCGCGGUAAUACGUAGGUGGCAAGCGUUGUCCGGAUUUAUUGGGCGUAAAGCGAGCGCAGGCGGUGAAUUAAGUCUGAUGUGAAAGCCCCCGGCUCAACCGGGGAGGGUCAUUGGAAACUGGUUGACUUGAGGGCAGAAGGGGAGAGUGGAAUUCCAUGUGUAGCGGGGAAAUGCGUAGAUAUAUGGAGGAACACCAGUGGGGAAGGCGACUCUCUGGUCUGUAACUGACGCUGGGGCUCGAAAGCGUGGGUAGCAAACAGG
rnacentral:rRNA from 1 species